rnacentral:rRNA from 1 species
UUUACGGAGAGUUUGAUCCUGGCUCAGAACGAACGCUGGCGGCAUGGAUUAGGCAUGCAAGUCGAACGAGGUAGCAAUACCUAGUGGCGGAAGGGUGAGGAACGCGUGAGUAAUCUGCCCUCAAGUUGGGAAUAACAGUUGGAAACGACUGCUAAUACCGAAUGUGGCUAUUAGACCGCAUGGUUUUUUGGCUAAAGAUUUAUUGCUUGAGGAUGAG